AGCCGCUUUCCGCAACAUCAAAACCAUCGCCGAGUGUUUGGCCGACGAACUCAUCAACGCCGCCAAGGGUUCUUCCAACUCCUACGCCAUCAAGAAGAAGGAUGAACUGGAGCGCGUGGCCAAGUCCAACCGUUAAAGAGCCACUGUUGUCACCCGCCCCCCCCAAUAAAAUUCACUUGCUCUGUGU